rnacentral:sRNA from 1 species
GCUGGGCAUAGUGUUGUAUGCCUAUAAUCCCAACAACUUGGGAGGCUGAGACAGGAGGAUCUUGAGUUCAAAACCAGCCUUAGCAAAAGUAAGGUACUAAGCAACUCAGUGAGACCCUGUCCCUA